rnacentral:rRNA from 1 species
CCUACGGGAGGCAGCAGUGGGGAAUUUUGGACAAUGGGGGCAACCCUGAUCCAGCCAUGCCGCGUGAGUGAAGAAGGCCUUCGGGUUGUAAAGCUCUUUCGGCCGGAACGAAAUCGCGCACGUGAAUAACGUGCGUGGAUGACGGUACCGGAGUAAGAAGCACCGGCUAACUACGUGCCAGCAGCCGCGGUAAUACGUAGGGUGCGAGCGUUAAUCGGAAUUACUGGGCGUAAAGCGUGCGCAGGCGGUUCGCUAAGUCAGACGUGAAAGCCCCGGGCUUAACCUGGGAACGGCGUUUGAAACUGGCGGGCUCGAGUACGGCAGAGGGGGGUGGAAUUCCACGUGUAGCAGUGAAAUGCGUAGAUAUGUGGAGGAACACCGAUGGCGAAGGCAGCCCCCUGGGCCGAUACUGACGCUCAUGCACGAAAGCGUGGGGAGCAAACAGGAUUAGAUACCCUGGUAGUCCACGCCCUAAACUAUGUCAACUAGUUGUCGGGGAAGCAAUUCCUUGGUAACGCAGCUAACGCGUGAAGUUGACCGCCUGGGGAGGUACGGUCGCGAGAUAAACUUAAAUAGAUAGAGCGUGAGAGNGCGACGACGACGACGAGGGAGAGG